rnacentral:rRNA from 1 species
AUUGAACGCUGGCGGCAGGCUUAACACAUGCAAGUCGAGCGGAGAGAGGUAGCUUGCUACUGAUCUUAGCGGCGGACGGGUGAGUAAUGCUUAGGAAUCUGCCUAUUAGUGGGGGACAACAUUUCGAAAGGAAUGCUAAUACCGCAUACGUCCUACGGGAGAAAGCAGGGGAUCUUCGGACCUUGCGCUAACAGAUGAGCCUAAGUCGGAUUAGCUAGUUGGUGGGGUAAAGGCCUACCAAGGCGACGAUCUGUAGCGGGUCUGGGAGGAUGAUCCGCCACACUGGGACUGAGACACGGCCCAGACUCCUACGGGAGGCAGCAGUGGGGAAUAUUGGACAAUGGGCGGAAGCCUGAUCCAGCCAUGCCGCGUGUGUGAAGAAGGCCUUAUGGUUGUAAAGCACUUUAAGCGAGGAGGAGGCUACUUUAGUUAAUACCUAGAGAUAGUGGACGUUACUCGCAGAAUAAGCACCGGCUAACUCUGUGCCAGCCGCCGCCGUAA